rnacentral:rRNA from 1 species
UACGGGGGGUGCGAGCGUUGUCCGGAAUUAUUGGGCGUAAAGAGCUCGUAGGCGGCCUGUUGCGUCCGCUGUGAAAUCCCGGGGCUCAACCCCGGUCCUGCAGUGGAUACGGGCUGGCUAGAGGCAGGCAGGGGAGAACGGAAUUCCUGGUGUAGCGGUGAAAUGCGCAGAUAUCGGGAGGAACACCAAUGGCGAAGGCAGCUUGCUGGGACGGUACUGACGCUGAGGCGCGAAAGCGUGGGGAGCAAACAGG